GAUGAACGCUGGCAACGUGAAUAAGGCAUGCAAGUCGAGUGCUCGCACCAUCUUCCCAAGAAGUUGGGGCGGGCACGGCAAACGAGGUAGUAAAACGCAGGAACGUACCCUCUAGUCGCGAAUAACCAGCCAAAAGGUUGGGUAAUACGCGAUGGUCCCUUUGGGGUAAAUCCCCCUUCGGCGGACCUAGAGGAGCGGCCUACGGGCUAUCACCUAGUUGGCAGGGUAACGGCCUACCAAGGCAAUGACGGCUAGGGGAGGUGAGAGCCUGACCCCCACCGAUGGUACUGAAACACGGACCAUACACCUACGGGGGGCUGCAGUCAAAAAUCUUCCGCAAUGGGCGCAAGCCUGACGGACCGACUUCGCGUGAUGAAUGAAUUUCUUCGAAACGUAAACAUCUUUUAUGAGGAAAAAAAUUUUGAUAGUACCUCAUGAAUAAGGGGUUGCUAAACUCGUGCCAGCAC
rnacentral:rRNA from 1 species